AGUAGCUUGCUCCUUUGCUGACGACCGGCGGACGGGUGAGUAAUGCUUGAGAAGAUGCCUUGAGGGGGGGGACAACAGUUGAAAACGACUGCUAAUGCCGCAUACUGUCUACGGACCAAAGGGGGGUUCCCCUCUCGCCUUUAGAUUGGCCCUAGUGGGAUUGGCUAGCUGGUGAGGGAAUGGGUCACCAAGGCAAGGAUCCCUAUCUGGUUUGAGAGGAUGAUCAUUCACACUGGGACUGAGACACGGGCCACACUCCUACCGCAGGCAGCCGUGGGGAAUAUUGCUCAAUGGAUGCAUGCCUGAUGCAGCCAUGCCGGAUGUGUGAAUAAGGCCUUCGUGUUGUAAAGCAUUUUCUUUCAGGAGGAAAGGGUAGUAGUUAAUACCUGCUGGCUGUGAGGGUCCUGACUGAUGAAGCACCCUCUACCUCCUUGCUAGCAGACGCGCCAAUACGGACGGUGCGAGCUUCAAUCGUAAUUACUGGCUAGUCAACGCAUGAUGUAAACACCAGCGCAGGACGGCCCCGGGCGUAAAAUUCAAUUUCAUUUGACAGUGAGUGGGCACUAGCGGUGGAGCAGGAGGGUUUAGUUUUAAUUUACGCGAGUAAAGCGUACGCAGGCGGUUUGUUAAGUCGAGAUGUGAAAGCCCCGGGCUCAACCUGGGAGCUGCAUUUCGAACUGUCAGACUAGAGUGUGAUAGAGGAGUAGGUAGAAUCUCACGGUGUAGCGGUGAAAUGCGUAGANAUCUGAAGGAAUACCGAUGGCGAAGGCAGUCACCUGGUGUCAACACUGACGCUCAUGUACGAAAGCGUGGGGAGCAAACAGGAUUAGAUACCCUGGUAGUCCACGCCGUAAACGAUGUCUACUAGAAGCUGGGAGUCUCGGUUCUGUUUUUCAAAGCUAACCCAUUAAGUAGACCCCCUGGGGAGUACGGCCGCAAGGUUAAAACUCAAAUGAAUUGACGGGGGCCCGCCCAAGCGGUGGAGCAUGUGGUUUAAUUCGAUGCAACGGGAAGAACCUUACCUACACUUGACAUACAGAGAACUUACCAGAGAUGGUUUGGUGCCUUCGGGAACUCUGAUACAGGUGGUGCAUGGCUGUUGUCAGCUCGUGUUGUGAGAUGUUGGGUUAAAUUCCGCAACGAGCGCCACCCCUUUCUUUAGUUGCUAGCAGGUAAUGCUGAGAACUCUAAGGAGACUGCCGGUGAUAAACCGGAGGAAGGUGGGGACGACGUCAAGUCAUCAUGGCCCUUACGUGUAGGGCUACACACGUGCUACAAUGGCGCAUACAGAGGGCUGCGAACCCGCGAGAGUAAGCGAAUCACUUAAAGUGCGUCGUAGUCCGGAUUGGAGUCUGCAACUCGACUCCAUGAAGUCGGAAUCGCUAGUAAUCGCGUAUCAGAAUGACGCGGUGAAUACGUUCCCGGGCCUUGUACACACCGCCCGUCACACCAUGGGAGUGGGUUCCUCCAGAAGUAGAUAGUUUACGGCUACCAG
rnacentral:rRNA from 1 species